CAGCAGCCGCGAGAAUACAGAGGGUGCGAGCGUUAAUCGGAUUUACUGGGCGUAAAGCGUGCGUAGGCGGCUAAUUGAGUCGGAUGUGAAAUCCCCGAGCUUAACUUGGGAAUUGCAUUCGAUACUGGUUAGCUAGAGUGUGGGAGAGGAUGGUAGAAUUCCAGGUGUAGCGGUGAAAUGCGUAGAGAUCUGGAGGAAUACCGAUGGCGAAGGCAGCCAUCUGGCCUAACACUGACGCUGAGGUACGAAAGCAUGGGGAGCAAACAGGAUUAGAUACCCCGGUAGUCCCUGUCUCUUAUAC
rnacentral:rRNA from 1 species